rnacentral:rRNA from 1 species
GAUGAACGCUGGCGGCGUGCUUAACACAUGCAAGUCGAACGGGAUCCCAGGAGCUUGCUCCUGGGUGAGAGUGGCGAACGGGUGAGUAAUGCGUGACCGACCUGCCCCAUACACCGGAAUAGCUCCUGGAAACGGGUGGUAAUGCCGGAUGCUCCAGUUGACCGCAUGGUCCUCUGGGAAAGAUUCAUCGGUAUGGGAUGGGGUCGCGUCCUAUCAGCUUGAUGGCGGGGUAACGGCCCACCAUGGCUUCGACGGGUAGCCGGCCUGAGAGGGCGACCGGCCACAUUGGGACUGAGAUACGGCCCAGACUCCUACGGGAGGCAGCAGUGGGGAAUAUUGCACAAUGGGCGCAAGCCUGAUGCAGCGACGCCGCGUGCGGGAUGACGGCCUUCGGGUUGUAAACCGCUUUUGACUGGGAGCAAGCCCU